rnacentral:rRNA from 1 species
ACAUCCAGCGAACUUGGCAGAGAUGCCUUGGUGCCUUCGGGAACGCUGAGACAGGUGCUGCAUGGCUGUCGUCAGCUCGUGUUGUGAAAUGUUGGGUUAAGUCCCGNAACGAGCGCAACCCUUAUCCUUUGUUGCCAGCGAUUCGGUCGGGAACUCAAAGGAGACUGCCGGUGAUAAACCGGAGGAAGGUGGGGAUGACGUCAAGUCAUCAUGGCCCUUACGAGUAGGGCUACACACGUGCUACAAUGGCGCAUACAAAGAGAAGCGACCUCGCGAGAGCAAGCGGACCUCAUAAAGUGCGUCGUAGUCCGGAUCGGAGUCUGCAACUCGACUCCGUGAAGUCGGAAUCGCUAGUAAUCGUGGAUCAGAAUGCCACGGUGAAUACGUUCCCGGGCCUUGUACACACCGCCCGUCACACCAUGGGAGUGGGUUGCAAAAGAAGUGGGUAGCUUAACCUUCGGGAGGGCGCUUACCACUUUGUGAUUCAUGACUGGGGUGAAGUCGUAACAAGGUAGGCGUAGCGAG